UGCGGCUUGAUGUAAUAGUAACAUAUAUAGGCUCAUGCCUAUAAAUUAAAGGUGCGAAUCCUUUACCCGUAG
rnacentral:tRNA from 1 species